rnacentral:rRNA from 1 species
UACGUAGGGUGCAAGCGUUGUCCGGAAUUAUUGGGCGUAAAGAGCUCGUAGGCGGUUUGUCGCGUCGAAUGUGAAAACCCGGGGCUCAACCCCGGGCCUGCAUUCGAUACGGGCAGACUAGAGUUCGGUAGGGGAGUCUGGAAUUCCUGGUGUAGCGGUGAAAUGCGCAGAUAUCAGGAGGAACACCAGUGGCGAAGGCGGCUCACUGGCCCGAUACUGACGCUGAGGCACGAAAGCGUGGGGAGCAAACAGG